rnacentral:lncRNA from 1 species
AGGGCUGCAAGCAGGGCCGCUCAGUUGGAGCAAGUGAGGGAGCCCAGGCUGCCGUGGCCCUGCCCAUCAAACGCCCAGAAAGAAGGCUUGAGGUAGAGAGGAAUAGGACAGUUCAGUGACGAAGACCCAGCUCAGCUCACAUUAGACUCUCCAGAGCCCUUCAUGUGCUCUGUCUUACGUCGGCUUGGCACGGGGAAGGCUUCUUGUCUCUGAAAGUAACUGCUUUGUCCAUUCCAACGAAGACCUGCAUCUUGGUGACGGGAAAUGGCUGGUUCUGUUUUCUUGCAGUCCAACUUUAGCAAGGAAGACGGCACUUAAAGCAGGGGGCAGAUUCCAGGCUGCACCCACGUAGGAGUCUCUGCUGAGCUCUGCCAAAGGCAAGUGAGCUGAGCAGAGUGACUAAGUCAACCAGAGAGAGCAGGGCACCAGCCAACCUUCCCCUCCUCGGCCCUUGUGUGAUGGGGAGCCCCCACUGCCAGUCCUGAGACCUGUACCUCAGAUCUCAGCAAUGAAAAAUCCUACUUGACCUAAAAGUAUAAAUAAAUGUGGGCUAAAUGUU